AUUGAACGCUGGCGGCAUGCCUUACACAUGCAAGUCGAACGGUAACGGGCCUUCGGGUGCCGACGAGUGGCGAACGGGUGAGUAAUGCAUCGGAACGUACCUUUCAGUGGGGGAUAACGUAGCGAAAGUUACGCUAAUACCGCAUAUUCUGUGAGCAGGAAAGCAGGGGAUCGCAAGACCUUGUGCUGAUUGAGCGGCCGAUGUCAGAUUAGCUAGUUGGUGAGGUAAAGGCUCACCAAGGCGACGAUCUGUAGCGGGUCUGAGAGGAUGAUCCGCCACACUGGAACUGAGACACGGUCCAGACUCCUACGGGAGGCAGCAGUGGGGAAUUUUGGACAAUGGAGGCAACCCUGAUCCAGCCAUGCCGCGUGAGUGAAGAAGGCCUUCGGGUUGUAAAGCUCUUUCGGCCGGGAAGAAAUCGCACGGGCUAAUACCCUGUGUGGAUGACGGUACCGGAAUAAGAAGCACCGGCUAACUACGUGCCAGCAGCCGCCGUAACAC
rnacentral:rRNA from 1 species